AAAUGUUUUUUUUUUAUACGUCUUACACUUUGAUUUACUUGUCGUAGGGCCUUCAUCAGGUCAACUUAAAAAUUACAUGAGUCUCCUCAAGACAACAUGAAGAUGUAAAGUUAUCAAAAAAAACACUUUUCACCACACCGUCUGACCGUGGCGUGCCCUUAAAAUUUGAUGAAUAACAUUAAAACACGGCCUUCUGUAUCUUGGACAUAUUUUGUCCAAUCGAGUCCAAACUAUACACAUAAGACAAGAGUCGCGAUCGGAAGACAUCUACCUAGAAAUCAUGACUUAAAAGGACAGCGCCCCCUGGGGGCAUUAGGAAAUGUCUUGUUUUGGUAGGUGUUACUCUUUGAUCUAUUUCUCCCCAGCCACUGUGCUAAACCAUGUCAAACUUUGUCACAUGGGUCUCAAGAUAUUGAUAAUGUAGGCAUAAUAUUACUGUGACUUUUCAUCAUGCGGAUUGUUAAUGGCGGGGCAUCAAAGUUCAUCAGCUCACCAUGACAAACGAAAUUCAUUUUAACGGAGUUACCAUGAACGCAUCAUUAGACCGCAUUGUUUUGGUCAACUCACACCUGGAGUUAUUUCUAUUCAGCCACUUUGCGAAACCAUUUCAAACUGUGUGAAAUGGGUCUCAAGAUAUUGAUAGUGUAGGCAUAAGAUUGCUGUGACUUUUCAUCAUGAUGAUUAACUGCUUGGCAGCUGAGGUCAUCAUCUCGACAUGAAAAACGAAACGCAAUUUAACACAGCUGCAAGUGAACGCAUCAUGACAAUCUCCUUCAGUAAGAGCUGAGUCUGUGGUGACGGUCCACUCACACAUCGAAUCAGUAGCACAGUUUGCUGUUCUGCUUGUUCAUCUGACGGACACGUAAAAGGCGACUGCUCUCUCGUUUCUGUGGAUGUCCAGCGUGAGACACAACUUGAAUCCAACCAGACUGAACACUGACUCCAGGGACGGACGAGCCUGAAGGACACAGCUGUGAUGACCAAUUGACCAUGUUUUGUCUCUUAUGGCAAAGCAGAAAUAUUAAACACUGGGUUCUUAUCUAAAGUGUAUCAAAUCAGAAAGCAAAAGAUACACAUUGUUGUUAUAAGUUUUUAUUAUUUUAACCAACCAUAAUGAAGAUAGAAAUGAAUUCUUAUCCAUGCCACUUAGCAAUGACUGCCACCACCAAACAGUUGCAGGCCAUCUUUAUUUAAGGGAGGAAUUUAGAAGUGUUGUGUAGCUUCUGAUGAUGAUGCAGUCGUCCACGUGUUGACCACCAUGUUGCUGCUGACGACGUCAGGUGCUGCAGUUCCUCAUCUAUAAAGAGAAGAAACGCACUGUUAAAGAAUGUUUUGAGUUGUGUAUGAAGCACAACAGAUUUCAGAUAGAACCGUUGUACUGUGGUCUGGGUUUGUAUCCUAAUGGUUAAAUGCACAUAUUUUAAGUCGCUUUUGAUAAAAGUACUGAAAGAAAUACAACAUUGUAAAAAUAGAUAAAAUGUCUUUCUACCUCAUCUGUAAUAUUCAAGGUGAUAAUCUCCCACAGAGCUAUUGAUAACAGUCCACAUCAAGUCUCUCCACUUCCCUCAGUGUGAAAACAUAAUUAUAUAAUUAAUUUGAGAACUGUUUACAACACUGAUGUGUGGAGAUUAAAAUCAUAUCUAAACUGUCUAAUUCACUGUAAAACUCCAUGACAUUCGCAGGCCAUCUGUAGUUAAGGGAGCAACGUAUGGAGUGAUGUGUAGAGGGCAGAAACUUGGACUAUGGGCAGAGAAGGUCUCUGGUUCGUCUCCGGUUCGACUCCACGGAGAGACAACAAAAGACAAACCUGGAUUGAUCUGUCCAAAAAUCCAAGAGUCUCCCUACCCUCUCUAGUGCCCCUGAGCAAGGCACCUCACUCCCCCAACAUCUGCUCCGUGAGCGCCGUACAUGGUCGCUCACUGCUCUGUGUGUCCUGCACCAGAUGGGUAAAAAGCAGAGAUUAAAUUUCCCUACCUGCAUGAGUGUGCCUUUGCAUGUCUGUGCAUGUGUUUGGGACGAAUAAAUGGAUCUUAAUCUUAA